UUGACCUCGGAUCAGGUAGGGAUUCCCGCUGAACUUAAGCAUAUCAAUAA
rnacentral:rRNA from 1 species